GAUGAACGCUGGCGGCGUGCCUAAUACAUGCAAGUCGAGCGAACAGACGAGGAGCUUGCUCCUCUGACGUUAGCGGCGGACGGGUGAGUAACACGUGGAUAACCUACCUAUAAGACUGGGAUAACUUCGGGAAACCGGAGCUAAUACCGGAUAAUAUAUUGAACCGCAUGGUUCAAUAGUGAAAGACGGUUUUGCUGUCACUUAUAGAUGGUUCCGCGCCGCAUUAGCUAGUUGGUAAGGUAACGGCUUACCACGGCAACGAUGCGUAGCCGACCUGAGCGGGUGAUCGGCCACACUGGAACUGAGACACGGUCCAGACUCCUACGGGAGGCAGCAGUAGGGAAUCUUCCGCAAUGGGCGAAAGCCUGACGGAGCAACGCCGCGUGAGUGAUGAAGGUCUUCGGAUCGUAAAACUCUGUUAUUAGGGAAGAACAAAUGUGUAAGUAACUAUGCACGUCUUGACGGUACCUAAUCAGAAAGCCACGGCUAACUACGUG
rnacentral:rRNA from 1 species